UUGGGAGCUCACUGACUUUAAAGUCAGGGGAAUUCGGAAGUUAAGCGAGUUUGGGCUAGAGCAAUUCUAGGAUGGGUGACCCACUGGGAAGUUUCUUGUGAGUUCCCAGA
rnacentral:rRNA from 1 species